AAAAAUAUAGAUAGAUAGAUGACAGCACCACCCACACACAAACCUCAUUUGUUUUGUACCUCUUCCUCCUUCCACCUCUUUUUUCUCUCUCUUUUUGCCCUACAUCAUAGGGUUUCCAUGUCCUUGUAGCUCUGAUCUCUCUCAUGCAUUCGGGUUUUCAAGCUCUAUACGUUGGUUUGUUAGCGUUUAUUGUUUUUGGGUAUUUCUUUUUUGCUCUCUUUGGAGGGUUUCUCGGUGGACCGUGUGAAUUUUACCUCCCGGCGUUUUUGGAGCUCAACUCAUGUCUAAGCUCUUUGGAUUCGCUGGAGAUGAUGAUUUUUGCCCUGGGGGGUCAAUAUACACAAACCCCAAGGAGCCUAGCCUCUUUUUGUCCCCUGGUCGUCAUGUGGAUGUGUAUUUUCCUUCCUGCAAGAGGUCUCGCAUCAGUGCUUCAUUUGUUUUCAGUGGAGAAAGGUUUGAGCAGAAAAGGGAGGCAUCUAUUGAAGUUUUUCCAGAUGAUUGUCUCUUUGAAAUCUUUAGACGUUUGCCUGGAGGAGAGGAAAGGAGUGCCUGUGCUUGUGUUUCAAAGCGCUGGCUUUCUCUUAUGAGCAAUAUGUCCAGGGCUGAACUCUGCAGCAAGAAAACUACCCAGUUGUUGAAUGAAUCAGUUGAAAAGGCUGGUGAGGUGAAAUCUGAGGCUGAAGACCAAGAAAUUGAGGGUGAGGGAUACCUUUCCAGGAGCUUGGAGGGGAAGAAGGCCACAGAUAUUAGACUUGCAGCUAUUGCGGUUGGAACUGCUAGUCGAGGGGGUUUGGGCAAGCUUUCUAUCCGUGGAAACAAUUCUGGCCAUGGGGUGACAAAUGUAGGCCUGAGGGCAAUUGCACGUGGCUGCCCUUCACUUAGGGCUCUUUCCUUGUGGAAUUUGCCUGUGGUUGGUGACGAAGGUCUAUAUGAGAUUGCUAAUGGCUGUCACAUGCUGGAAAAGCUUGAUCUUUGUGGGUGUCCUGCAAUUUCUGACAAGGGUAUGCUUGCAAUUGCAAGGAACUGCCCAAAUUUGACUGAUCUAACUAUAGAAUCUUGUUCAAACAUUGGGAAUGAGAGUCUGCAAUCUGUUGGCCGAUGCUGCACCAACCUAAAAUCCAUCUCAAUCAAGAACUGCCCAGUUGUUGGGGAUCAAGGAAUUGCAAGCCUGGUAUCUUCUACACAUGCUCUUUCAAAGAUAAAGCUCCAGGCUUUGAACAUUACUGAUGUGUCUCUAGCUGUGGUUGGACACUAUGGUAAGGCAGUUACUGAUCUUGUCCUCACCAGCCUGCCAAAUGUGAGUGAAAGGGGCUUUUGGGUCUUGGGUAAUGGCCAUGGCUUACAGAAGUUGAAGUCCUUUACAGUUACAUCAUGCCGAGGAGUAACAGAUACUGGGCUUGCAGCUAUGGGGAAGGGUUGCCCAAAUUUAAGGCAGUUCUGCCUCCGCAAAUGUGUAUUCUUAUCUGACAAUGGACUGGUAUCGUUUGUAAAAGCUGCAGAGUCACUGGAGAGCCUGCAGUUGGAGGAGUGCCACAGGAUUACCCAGCUUGGUUGUUUUGGUUCCCUUUUGAACUGUGGUGCACAAUUGAAGGCUCUUGCUAUGGUGAACUGCUUGGGAAUUAGAGACUUGAAUCUGAAAUUACCUCAGUUUUCUCCUUGCAAAUCCCUACGUUCAUUGUGCGUCCGUAACUGCCCAGGUUUUGGCGAUGGAAGCUUGGCUCUUAUGGGAAAGUUCUGUCCUCAGUUGCAGUAUGUGGAAUUGAGUGGACUCCAGGGUGUAACUGAUGCUGGGUUUACUCCAUUGCUUGAGAAUUAUGAUGCAGGUUUGGUGAAGGUUAAUCUUAGUGGUUGUGUGAAUGUGUCUGACAAAGUGGUGUCAGCGUUGACUGAGCAGCAUGGUUGGACUCUUGAAGUUCUGAAUCUUGAUGGAUGUGUGAAAAUUACUGAUGCAAGUUUGGCUGCAAUUGCGGAGAACUGCUUGUUGCUCAGUGAACUUUAUGUCUCAAAGUGUGCAAUCUCAGAUUCUGGGCUUAUGGUGAUGGCUUGUUCAAACCAGCUCAAUCUGCAGAUCUUUUCAGUGUCGGGUUGCUCUAUGAUAUCAGACCAGAGCUUAACUGCCCUUGUGAAAAUGGGUCAGACUCUGCUAGGAUUGAAUCUCCAGCACUGUAACGCCAUCAGCACCAGCACUGUUGAUCUGCUUGUAGAGCGGCUGUGGAGGUGUGAUAUCCUUUCCUAGGCAUUGAAGGAUGUGGAGAGAAUCCCUUUGCGGAAUUAGUAUGGCAAACAUAAUGCACAGGGUUCAAAGUAUGCAGCCUCAGAUUCUAGUCAGCUUUUAUGAGUAGCUUCAGCAGCUUGUGUAGUUUUUGGGUCCAUCAGCCAUG
rnacentral:misc_RNA from 1 species